rnacentral:rRNA from 1 species
CUACGGGGGGCACCAGUUAGGAAUAAUCUACAAUGCGCGCAAGCGUGAUAGUUUGAGCCAGAGUGCGUCUCAAAAUGGGACGCUUUUGUGAAAUGUAAAAAGUUUCACGAAUAAGGACUGGGUAAGACGAGUGCCAGCCGCCGCGGUAAUACUCGCGGUCCAAGUCGCAGCCAUUUUUAUUGGGUCUAAAACAUCCGUAGCUUGCUAGGUAAGUUUCUUGUGAAAUCUUAUGUCUUAAACAUGGGGCGUGCAAGAAGUACUGCUUAGCUAGAGACCGGAAGACGUAGGAAGUACGUUCAAAGUAGCGGUUAAAUGUGUUAAUCUUGAACGGACUCACAACAGCGAAGGCAUCCUACGAGGACGGUUCUGACAGUAAGGGAUGAAGGCUAGGGGCGCAAAGCGGAUUAGAUACCCGGGUAGUC